GCAUACGGAAGUGCUUUACCAAUCCUGCCAGGGCAGACAAGCCAUGGCAUGGAGAUUCCACAUGGCUACUCCAGCGUUGGCCUAGAGUAGAUUUGUGAUAGUCAAUAUGAAAGCCUAGAGAUCGACCUCCCGGGAGAUGUCAGGGAAAGGACACUAUGAGAUGCACUUCACAGGAUCAUUCUAUGGCGCAAAUGCUACAUCAUCAUCCCUGGCAAAGAGGCAUCAUUGCUUCCCAUAGAUCCUCAUAACUCAAGACCAUCAUCUCCAGCACAUCGACCUCCAAGACUGUCGUCAUCACCGGGACCGUCGCAUCCUGCUCGAUCACCGCCUCCAUCUCCAUCGAAUCCUGGUGAUGCUGCAACGAUGACCAAAACAUCCCUCCCCGGUCACCGUCGUCGGGACUAAACUCUGGUGUGAGCAAGGAACCUGCAGCACCUGUCAAGAAGUUGCGACCACCGUCUUCCAAGCCAAGGCAGCCAAAGGCGAAAGAAGUCUGAACCUAUUCAGAAGCUACCUGCCGAUAUGACUAUUGAGGAAUUGCGGGAGGCAUCGCAAGCAACGGUGAGGGAGAUCUUCAAAGCAUGCACUGAAUAAAGAAAAGAAAAGGAGAUGGAGCCAAAACCAGUAGAUCCAGUGAAAUUAAAAAAUUUUAUUGGCAUGAAAAAGAAGUAAAGAAGAUUUUACUAUCGAACUACGAGCAUUUGUUGUUAAGUCUGAUCAGAAGAAAAAGCGAGGAGAGUCGUCUUCCAGUCGUACUGUCCCCCAACUUGAGGAGCAAGCAGAUAAAGACGCUCAAACUAUAGCAGCAAUGCCCUUAGAAUAACAAAUUCAAGUCAUUACAUUUAUGGAAGAUACAGGUAUGUCGCUUGCUAAAGUUCUAGGGCAAGUUGAACUGCCAGCUCCAGAAAAGAUUGUACCUAAAUGACCCUUUGAGAUAGGCAAGCCUCCAGUAAGGUCUGAAUUGGUACGAAAGCUCUCAGCGAAGAUGUACGAAUUCCAUCAAUGGUACAUGGAGCAGUCGGCCAAGGAAAGGCUCAUGUUCGCUCUCCGUGUUAAACCGAUUGAUUUUUUCGGCGAAAGUGAGAAACUCUUGUGGAUGCAAUUCAAGGAUAUAUGAAGUGUACCAUUAGGAUGCCCUUGACGUCUCUCUCAUCAACACUUGGGUUCUGAUGCUAAUUUAGAGGUGCCGUAGAGAAUCGUACUUCAACAUUGGCUUCAUGGAUCCAUUUCUCGUUAAUGAAGUUCGGAUACAGGAUCAGCCAAAGCCUACAUUGGACGCAAUAUACAAUUUCUUGGAGAAACAAAAAUACAAGGAAUACAUACUACUGCCAUACAACUUUAAGUGUAGGUAGCGUCUAUUUUCGUUUUCCUUUUCCUUUCCUAAUUAAUGUUAGUGAGUUCUAAUAUGAACAAUUAUGUACGCAGAUUUCACUGGAUUCUCCUAGUAAUUAUGAUUGAUAAGAGCCACAUUAUUGUUCAAUUCAUUAAGUAAACCACCGGCGGAGUACAAAGACAUUCAGGACAUGCUAAACUUCGCAUGGAAAUGAUUUCGUAUGACUCACCAUGGUGAAUUCAAAGAAAAACUUACAUUCAAUAUUACGUUCCCGG